CCGGAGGGCUUGUAGCUCAGUUGGUUAGAGCGCGCGCUUGAUAAGCGUGAGGUCGGAGGUUCAAGUCCUCCCAGGCCCACCAGUUUAUCCAUUACUUUCAUAAGUGCUUUUAAAAAAUAAGUACUUCUAAAAAGAUUGCUUCUAAAAAGCUUAUCAAAAUUGGCAGGCUUAUUGCUUUUGUGUGAGUAAUCCAAAGUUAAAGCAAAUUAAUGGCAAAAAAACAGUUCAAAUGCUAAAUACUAAGGAGUCAAAAUUCCUUGCAAAGUGAUUUUUACAGCGUCCAUUUGGUUGAUAUAAAUUCCAAAUGCUCAUAGACGUCAAUGCCUAUAUGAAACUAUCGGUUCAAUCAUAUCGCUUUGAGUUAUAUAGAUUUUGUAAUCCCUCUUUUGAUCGUUUUAAACGCUUUAUCCUGAUUUAGGGGCCGUAGCUCAGCUGGGAGAGCACCUGCUUUGCAAGCAGGGGGUCGUCGGUUCGAUCCCGUCCGGCUCCACCAUAAGGUCAUCAUCAUUGUUGUAAGAACAGUUUUGUAAAAGGUUUGCGAACCUUUUGCUUGUUCUAUUGAAAUUGUG
rnacentral:tRNA from 1 species